GCAUCGGUGGUUCAGUGGCAGAAUGCUCGCCUGCCUCGCAGGCGGCCCGGGCUCGAUUUCCGGCCGAUGCA
rfam:Papilio xuthus contig3028, whole genome shotgun sequence.